GUGACUAGGAUGGGUCAGCACAGGUGACUAGGAUGGGUCAGCACAGGUGACUAGGAAGGGUCAGCACAGGUGACUAGGAAGGGUCAGCACAGGUGACUAGGAAGGGUCAGCACAGGUGACUAGGAUGGGUCAGCACAGGUGACUAGGAUGGGUCAGCACAGGUGACUAGGAUGGGUCAGCACAGGUGACUAGGAUGGGUCAGCACAGGUGACUAGGAAGGGUCAGCACAGGUGAGAGGAGAGGACAUACAGUUGUUACCCAGAUCACACAUACAGCUUAUAGAAAGAAUCUCUCUGCACCUUUUUUCUAUAGGAAUAUGUGUUUGAGCUAUUUAUAUUUUAUAUGUGCAAUAAAGGGCGUCUUCACUCAAAAAGAAUAGCGUUUGGAAAGCUGCUUUUAUUAUGGACGUGUUAUGGAAAGCUCUCUCCUGUGCCAAUGUCAGUUCAUUAGGGAAUCGCCAAUACAAUAGUCGUGCAUAAUUUACCAUUUUUAUGCCAGCAGUUAUGGAGUUGGAGAAACUGUACGUAAGCAGGGCAAACCUGUUUCAGAUGAUUUCUGGUGUACAUCAAUCGCAGCACGUUUCAGGACUAAUUCAGCACUUUUUACCUCAUUUUAAGUAGAAUACUAUUGGCAAUUUAAUGUUUUAAGUUCCAUUUUAUAUUCAUAAAACAUGAGUUGAAAAGGAUGCUGUCACUGCUUCCUGUUGACAAGAACUUUUGAUAAAUAAAGAGAUUUCAAAACA